rnacentral:tRNA from 1 species
GUCUAUAUAGCUCAGUGGUAGAGCAUAGAGUUGAAAACUCUUGAGUCAUUGGUUCGAGUCCAAUUUUAGACA